GGCACCAUGGCCUAAUGGUAAGGCGCUACUUUCCGGUGGUAGAGAUUGAGGGUUCGAGUCCCUCUGGUGUCG